AACACACAUUGUGCCCCUUGGUAUUCUGAGGGGCAUGCCUGUUCAAGCAUCAUUACAACCCUCAAGCAUUGCUUGGUAUUGGGCCCUGCUACUUACCCAGCAGGCCUUAAAAUCAGUGGCAGUGCUGUCGAGGCCCUGAGCAUAGUAAAUAUCCUCACUAUAGGGACUCAGUGGACACUGGCCAUCAACCCCAACUUUCUAAGUUUGACCUCAGAUCAGGUAAGGAUACCCACUGAACUUAA
rnacentral:misc_RNA from 1 species